UGAGGAAUAUUGGUCAAUGGACGCAAGUCUGAACCAGCCAAGUAGCGUGCAGGAUGACGGCCCUAUGGGUUGUAAACUGCUUUUAUAUGGGGAUAAAGUGGGGAACGUGUUCCCUUUUGCAGGUACCAUAUGAAUAAGGACCGGCUAAUUCCGUGCCAGCAGCCGCGGUAAUACGGAAGGUUCGGGCGUUAUCCGGAUUUAUUGGGUUUAAAGGGAGCGUAGGCCGUUUGGUAAGCGUGUUGUGAAAUGUAGGAGCUCAACUUCUAGAUUGCAGCGCGAACUGGCAGACUUGAGUGCGCACAACGUAGGCGGAAUUCAUGGUGUAGCGGUGAAAUGCUUAGAUAUCAUGACGAACUCCGAUUGCGAAGGCAGCUUACGGGAGCGCAACUGACGCUUAAGCUCGAAGGUGCGGGUAUCGAACAGG
rnacentral:rRNA from 1 species